rnacentral:rRNA from 1 species
AGAGUUUGAUUAUGGCUCAGGAUGAACGCUAGCGAUAGGCCUAACACAUGCAAGUCGAGGGGCAGCACAUGAAGUAGCAAUACGGAUGGUGGCGACCGGCGCACGGGUGAGUAACGCGUAUGCAACCUGCCUACAACAGGGGAAUAACCCGUUGAAAGACGGACUAAUACCCCAUAACACAGGGAUCCCGCAUAGGAAUAUUUGUUAAAGAUUUAUCGGUUGUAGAUGGGCAUGCGUUCCAUUAGCUGGUUGGUGAGGUAACGGCUCACCAAGGCAACGAUGGAUAGGGGAACUGAGAGGUUUAUCCCCCACACUGGUACUGAGACACGGACCAGACUCCUACGGGAGGCAGCAGUGAGGAAUAUUGGUCAAUGGACGCAAGUCUGAACCAGCCACGUCGCGUGAAGGAAGACGGCCCUACGGGUUGUAAACUUCUUUUGUAAGGGAAUAAAGUGCAGUACGUGUACUGUUUUGCAUGUACCUUACGAAUAAGGAUCGGCUAACUCCGUGCCAGCAGCCGCGGUAAUACGGAGGAUCCGAGCGUUAUCCGGAUUUAUUGGGUUUAAAGGGUGCGCAGGCGGGAGAUUAAGUCGGCGGUGAAAUUUUGCAGCUCAACUGUAAAAGUGCCUUCGAAACUGGUUUCCUUGAGUGUGGAUGAAGUAGGCGGAAUUUGUGGUGUAGCGGUGAAAUGCAUAGAUAUCACGAGGAACUCCGAUUGCGCAGGCAGCUUACUAAACCAUAACUGACGCUCAGGCACGAAGGCGUGGGGAUCAAACAGGAUUAGAUACCCUGGUAGUC